UGUAAACAGCUGGGUUUUCCUUUCCAAA
rnacentral:piRNA from 1 species